rnacentral:snRNA from 1 species
AUCUCCUACUGGCAGGGGGGAUACCAUGAUCACAGGGCGAGGCUUAUCCAUUGCACUCUGGAUGUGCUGACCCCUGCGAUUUCCCCAAAUGUGGGAAACUCCACUGCAUAAUUUGUGGUAGUGGGGACUGCAUUUGCACUUUCCCC